rnacentral:snoRNA from 1 species
GCUGAGGUCUCUCCUGGUGGGGCUUUCUCUGUAGAGCGACAUAGUUGGAAGUGCCUCCCAGGGUAACCAUGUGGAUUCCUCCCCCGCAGAGCUGCGUGUUAGAUCUGUGGGGGCUACAAGACAGAG